UACGGAGGGAGCUAGCGUUGUUCGGAAUUACUGGGCGUAAAGCGCACGUAGGCGGCUUUGUAAGUUAGAGGUGAAAGCCUGGAGCUCAACUCCAGAAUUGCCUUUAAGACUGCAUCGCUUGAAUCCAGGAGAGGUGAGUGGAAUUCCGAGUGUAGAGGUGAAAUUCGUAGAUAUUGGGAAGAACACCGGUGGCGAAGGCGGCUCUCUGGACCGUAACUGACGCUGAGGCGCGAAAGCGUGGGGAGCAAACAGG
rnacentral:rRNA from 1 species